UUCAACCAUCAAAAUAUACAGUACUCUCCCUUAAAGCCCAGCCUUUGAACCCACGUACAAAAUGAUUCUAAUUCUGUCUGAAAAAAUCUGACAGGUAUAAAAGAAGACUGUGAAAACAUACUCCAGAGCCUGCAUACGAUGAAACACCAGGUGACAGCGCGCCUUGGCAGUUGGAGAUCACCUGUCCCAAGGGCAACAACUGAGCUUCUGCCUUAGCCCCACCCACCUUUCAAGGAUCAGCCAACUGAUGUGGUGAGACACCCAGGCCUCUUGGGACAAGGGGUGAGACUUUGUCAUCUUCAUUACCUAGAGGGAUUGUUGAGUUGACAUCAUAAAGUAUGUGAACUGCAUGUCUAUAAAUAACUUUGAGUCACUGGAAGACAAAAGUACCCUGGAUGAGAAGGUCCUGUGAAAGAAUCAAGCAUAAUUGAGCUUCUGGCAGAGCAUUGCAGGGGAGUCAGGAGAUAUGGGUGCUAGUGCCUGAACCAACACUGGCUCUGGGAAUUUGGGUAUCUCAUCCUGCAAGAAUGUCACUAAAGCUUAUCCGUCAUAUAAACACAUACUUAUUUCAUUUCCUUCUGCUUCAAGUUCAGUUCAUCUCUAUGAGAUGUUCAUGUUAAAGUCUCUUUUGUGGGAAGAAGAACACAGGAGAGGCAGAGGGAGAGUUAACACAGACACAGGAGAGGCAAUAAGACCAAGGACGGAGAGGCUGGAAUGUGCAGGAAUGAGCCAUGGAAUAUUAACAGCCAACAGAUGCUAGAAGAAGCAAGGAACAGAUUCUUCUCUAGAGCCUCCAUGAAGAGUGUCACCCUACCAACACUUUGAGUUUGGUCCAGUGAAAGUGAUUUUGGACUUCGGAUACCUAACUCAGUGAAUGAAUUAAUUUCUGUUGUUUAGAGAUACCAAGUGUAUUGUAAUUUGUCACAGUAGCUAUAGGAAAGUAAUGCAACCACUAUGAAGGGGAAUUUGAUAAUACCUAGCAAAAUUAUAUAUCUUCUUAUGCUUUGACUUGGAAUUCCCAUUUCAAGAAACAUCUAUAUCUAUAUACUAAAUAUAUAUUAGUAAUGACACAAAAAGAGUAUAGAUAUAGAUAAGGAUAUUCACUGAUGCACUCUAUGUACAGCAAAGGUAAACAACCUUUGAUGGGUAUUUAUAUCCAUCAGUUGUGUUCUAGAUGAACAAACUGUCAUGCAACCAUAGAGCAAUGUACACUAAGUAAGCUUAAAGAAUUAUGAAUAUCUCCACAUAGAACUAUGGGAGGACCUCCAAGAUAUACUAUUAAGUGAAAAGUCAGUGUAUAAAAAGGUGUGUAUAGUAUGGUACUUUUUAAUCUAAGAAUUGGGGGAAAUGCAAAUAUAUACAUUUUACUUAUAUUAAAAAUAAAAGAACCAGUGAACAUUGGUUCAUUGGUAGAAAAGAAAUAACCUAAUUUUAAUAAUAGAAAAAAUAGACUAAAAAUAUAGAACAAAGCCUCAGGGAACUGUGGGACUAUACAAAAUGUAUAAUAUUCAUGCGAUUUUUGUCUUGGAGAGGAGGAAAAGUGCAUAGAAGAAAAAGUAUUUGAAGAAAUAAUGGUUGACAAACUUCAAAUUCGGAAAAAGACAUAAGCCUAGAGGUUCAAGAAAUUGAGUGAACCCUAAACAGAAUUAUUCCAAAUAAAGCCAUGAAAACAGACAUCAUGAUCAAACUUCAGAAAACUAAAAACAAAAGCAGAAAAUGAAAACGGAGAGAGAAAUGAUGCAUUACCUAUAGGAGAAAAAUAAAUAACAGCAAAUUUCUCAUCAGAAACCAUGGAGUGUAGAAGGAAUUAGCACAACAUUUUUCAAGUGCUGAUAGAAAAGAACUUUUAACCUGAAAUUCUAUCCAGCAAAGUUAUCCUCCAAGAAAGAAGGGGCAUAUAAAGAUAUUGUCAGAUGAAGGAAAAUGAAGAGAAUUUAUCAGCAGCAAAUGUAACCUAAAAGGAUGGCAAAUAAGAAGUUCUUAAGACAGAAAGUAAAUGAUAAUAGAAGGGCUCUCCAAAAAGGAUACAAAAUGAUAGGGCCAACUGUGUAUGAGAGAACAUGUGCAGAUAACAUGGUAGAAAUCCAGAAACAAGCCAUUAUCUCAGGAGAAAUCCUGUGCAGAAAUUCUACUAACAGAGUUGAAAAGGUUAGGUAGUGUGGACAUUUGAGUAAAGUAUGCAAAAUCCAUGUGUCUGCAACAGCAGAGUUAUCCAACCAUAAGAAGGUGUUCAGUUAACAAAUGCAGAUCUGUUUAGAGCAGGGGCCAGAUAUUAACUUGCAGAAAUGAUAAUUUCACAAGAACAAUAUGUUAAAAUAAAAACCGUAAACUUGUCAGAGCAGUGUGGUGCUGGGAUACAAUUCACUGAGCUGAUGAGAGGAGUGGAGACAACAAAGGAGGAGAAAGCUUCACUAAGUAGUCUCUGGGAAGACGCAGAGAUGAAACAAAUGAAAGCAUAGAGAUUGUGCAAACUCAUGGAGAGAGGGUUCUGGCUAAGAAAACUACUCCAGGAGGCAGGCUUCUAAGAAGCUCACUGGCAGAUGGGGAGUCCAUGGGACCUGGGGUCAGAGAGAAACGAAAGGGGGCGUAUGAUCUCCAGACCGCCUGGGAGAUCCAUUAGUUUAAAAUCCUUCCCCUCGAUGUCUGCUUCUACUUUAAUGUAGGUUUAGAGAGCUGAGCAUCAACUCAGCUUCACUACUGUCAGUGCUCCUGGUUCUUCCCGGCCCCCAUGGGACAAUGUCAUGCAGGGCACUUUCCUUCUUACCAAUGUUUGUGCCAUUUCAGUGUGUAAAGAGGUUACAUAGUAGCAUCCCAUGGAAGCAAAUGGGUCCCCUAUCAAUUGGUCCUAAACCUGGACAGCCUCAGACCCCUGGAGUGUCCAAUCAGUUACCUAGGAGUCCUCUCUGCUCAUCUGGGAGCUCCUACUCUUCACCAGUCAGGCUGGACACCCAGUCCCCUCCCUCCUAUCCAAUCCCCAUAAGCCCUGCCCCCUCUACCAGGUCCAGCUCCUUUUUGAGGAGUCUCUGAUGACUCCAGUGUGGUCUUUCUCUUUAUUAUACAUUAAGGGGGCUCUACAGAGGUCACCAUAACUUCCAUAGGAUCUGGACCCUGUGAAACCAUCAAUGUGACCUCGGUAGCCCUGGGUCACUGGAGGUGUGAAGAGUGACAGAUGCUCAUAACACUUGUGUGCAGUCCAUGACAGGGGAGGGAACUCACCUUAGGAUAUCUAAGACUCUGGGGCCCAGGAAGAGUCCUGACUCUUGCUACAGUGUCCCUCUCUGCCAACCCCCAGUCACCUCUUCAUAGAACUUCAGGUAGGUUCCAGACUCCUCGGCCAUGUGCACACCUGAUAUGAACAUAGAGGGCACCAACACAGGAAAAGCACAAUUAUUAUAUGGAAAAAAUGAGGACUUUUCCCCCAGCUCAACUCUAUUACACUGUAUAUCAUAGAGAUGGCACUGAAAUUAAUAUGUAAUAUAGACAAAUACGUGGUUCCCUUCUUCUUACCUUCCCAAAUACUCACUAAAACAUAGUAGUGCUAUAUAGAAAGAGUUAGGAUAGGAAGAAAGUAAACAUUGGUAUUGUGGAUAGUGCACCAAUUACUGUGCUGGGAUCUUGAUAAGAUUUUGUCCUUGAACUCCUCACAAUGCUCCUUUGAGUAUAAGGACUAUGAGAUAG